AUAUUAUAGUUUAAAGUCCGAGGACUGUAUACAUUCUAUUAACACGAGUGUAAAGGUAUAGUUCGCAGACAAAGCCUUUAAGGAGCCAAGUCCACUUGGGUCUAGCUUACGCCAGCAACCCUGAUAGUUCACAGGUGAGUGAGAGAUAAAUGAGAGUGCACCUGCAAAGCCAGCACAUCUCAAAAAUCGUUAAUGAUCCUUCCGCAGGUUCACCUACGGAAA
rnacentral:misc_RNA from 1 species